UACGAAGGUGGCAAGCGUUGUUCGGAUUUACUGGGCGUACAGGGAGCGUAGGCGGUUGGAUAAGCCCUCCGUGAAAUCUCCAGGCUUAACCUGGAAAGUGCAGAGAGGACUGUUCAGCUAGAGGAUGGGAGAGGAGCGCGGAAUUCCCGGUGUAGCGGUGAAAUGCGUAGAGAUCGGGAGGAAGGCCGGUGGCGAAGGCGGCGCUCUGGAACAUUUCUGACGCUGAGGCUCGAAAGCGUGGGGAGCAAACAGG
rnacentral:rRNA from 1 species